AGCCACAUCACAUUCAAACACCAGUUUCUGUAUGAUGACUGAAGUUAAGCAAUGUUGAGCCUGGUCAGUACCUCGAUGAAUGACCACUUGAGAAUACCAGGUGCUGUAAG